GACGAACGCUGGCGGCGUGCUUAACACAUGCAAGUCGAACGGUGAUGCUCCAGCGUACUGGGCUACACCAGUGGCGGACGGGUGCGUAACGCGUGGUCAACCUUCCGCAGACUGCGGGAUAACCGCGGGAAACGGUGGGUAAUAAUAGCUACGAACGCAGACUGUUUGUUCUUGGUUUGGAAUGUUUUUCGGGUUGGUAUGGACUCGCGGCCUAAUAGACUGUUGGUGAGGUAAUGGCUCACCAAGGCGACGACGGGUAGCCGGCCUGAGACGGCGACCGGCCACACUGGGACUGAGACACCGCCCAGACUCCUACGGGAGGCAGCAGUGGGGAAUAGUGCACAAUGGGCGAAAGCCGGAUGCAGCGACGCCGCGUGAGGGAUGACGGCCUUCGGGUUGUAAACCUCUUUCAGCAGGGAAGAAGCGACAGUGACGGUACCUGAAGAAGAAGCACCGGCUAACUACGUG
rnacentral:rRNA from 1 species